GUGAUCGACCAUCAGCAGCGGGGUCACAUGACACUCAUCAGCCAUUAGGAUUGCCGGAGAGCGGCUUCAUCAAAGAUCAUGAGAAGCACCUUGAAACUCAUAAUGUUUCGCGUUAUUGCUUGUUUUGUUUCUUUUUAUCGAAUCAAGAUUUCUGGUCACUGAAGCCCGAUGUGUUGAGAAGCAGCUGCAGGAUUUGACCGGGGGGGAGAGGAGGUAAAAGUGACACAGAAGCUGCUUGGAGUCAGUCUGUAUUCCUUCGAGACUGUCAUCGCAAAGCAGCACGAGGCAGGGACUGUAGACGUUAUCAAGGACGAGGAAAACAGUGCGCACAGUCAGCGCGAACUAGUAACAACCCGCAGAGUGGAGCUACUGCUCAAGCAACACAGCACACGUCCAAUGCAUGUAGCAAAUGCGGCACAACGCAUCAACCUCGCAACUGCCCUGCAUAUGGCAAGGAGUGCCGUCGCUGUAAGAAAUUAAACCAUUUUGUAGAUCAAUGUCAAACCAGAAUGUCGAGCUAUCGGAACAGAGGUCGUGGUCGCGGAGCAUCAACUGUACACAGAGUGGAGUCUGAUUUUGAACAUUUCUUUGUUGACUCAAUGACACAUGAUAUCAGUGACACCUGCUGGUAUGAAGAG